UAUAACUCUCUCCUUCUGCUCUAUAAGACCACGUUUAGAACCAAAUCCAAAUGCAUGAAUUCUAUAGCAGUCUUUAAUGCCUUCUUAUCCCUUAUUGGCUCAGUGAACCAGGUUUUGUGGCCAUCCAAUACCAAAAAAAACAGGCAAACGCCAAUAUAAGAAAUGAAAGGACCGGCCGUGGGAUAAUUGAGCACACUUCGAUCCACACAGUACAUAAGCACACAAACACAACAGAAACAAGAUCGUUUUAUAGAGGAAAAAUAACUAGAACAAACGUAAAAUGCAAAAUAGGAGAGAUAAAUAAGAAAUAAAAAUAAAAGAAAAGAAAGCACACC
rnacentral:lncRNA from 1 species